AAGGAUCAUUAAUGAAAGUUGGGGAGCUGUCGCUGUCGAAUGUGGCAUGCACGCUCCCCGUACGCUUUUCCAACUACACCUGUGCAUCUUUGUAGGAAAUGGUGGGGGAGGUCCGCCUCCUCUGCUUUCCUAUUUUCCACACACACGUAAACAUGAAUGUUUCUGAGUGUUGAACUAUUAAAUUAUUAC
rnacentral:misc_RNA from 1 species